UACGUAGGGUGCAAGCGUUGUCCGGAUUUACUGGGUUUAAAGGGUGCGUAGGCGGCUUGCUAAGUCGUGGAUGAAAUGUCGGGGCUCAACCUCGGCGCUGUUUACGAUACUGGCAGGCUCGAGCGAUCAUGAGGCAGCUAGAAUGAGUGGUGUAGCGGUGAAAUGCGUAGAUAUGUGGAAGAAUACCGGUGGCGAAGGCGAUUUUCUAGCUUAUACCUGACGCUGAGGCGCGAAAGCAAGGGGAUCAAACAGG
rnacentral:rRNA from 1 species